ACCAAGUCUUAGAUCUAAAUGGUCUGGUCCAUGUGGCCUCUGCUGAGAUAUCACGUUCCUUGGUCCGUGCAGAGUGGGUGGGCUUGAAGUCAGGAAGACUCAUCUUGGUUAUUUACCCUGAUUAUCCGAUAAUCCUAAUCCUCUGGAAGGAAUGCUCCUACCAUCUGAGAACUCAUUUCUUUUAAGGAAGUGGUGAAUUUUCACUGAUAUAAAAUAUAUCAAAUAUGGAGGAAGAAGUGACAAUGAGCCACUCAAGUGAGAUAGUAGAUUUUUAGAAACUGAACACCUACA